AGUGAACGCUGGCGGCAGGCCUAACACAUGCAAGUCGAACGGCAGCACGGCAGUAGCAAUACUGUGGGUGGCGAGUGGCGGACGGGUGAGGAAUACAUCGGGAUCUACCCUGUUGUGGGGGAUAACGUAGGGAAACUUACGCUAAUACCGCAUAAGAACUGAGGUUGAAAGCGGCGGACCGCAAGGCGUCGCGCGAUUGGAUGAACCGAUGUCCGAUUAGCUAGUUGGCGGGGUAAAGGCCCACCAAGGCGACGAUCGGUAGCUGGUCUGAGAGGACGACCAGCCACACUGGAACUGAGACACGGUCCAGACUCCUACGGGAGGCAGCAGUGGGGAAUAUUGGACAAUGGGCGCAAGCCUGAUCCAGCCAUGCCGCGUGGG
rnacentral:rRNA from 1 species